UACAGAGGAGCCAAGCGUUGUCCGGAUUGACUGGGCGUAAAGCGCACGCAGGCGGUUGCGCGCGUGGGGUGUGAAAUCUGGCCGCUUAACGGCCAGGCGCCAUCCCAUACGGCGCGACUGGAGUGAUGCAGAGGUCGAUGGAAUUGCCGGUGUAGUGGUGAAAUGCGUAGAGAUCGGGCAGGAACACCCAGGGGGGAAACCAGUCGACUGGGCAUCUACUGACGCUGAGGUGCGAGAGCGUGGGGGAGCGAACCGG
rnacentral:rRNA from 1 species